GUGCUCACUUCGGCAGCAUGUAUACUAAAAUUAGAACGAUUCAGAGAAGAUUAGCAUGGUCCCUGAGCAAGGAUGACAUGCAAAUUUGUGAAGCAUUCCGUAUUUUU
ensembl:snRNA U6 U6 spliceosomal RNA